rnacentral:misc_RNA from 1 species
UGUUCGAGCGUCAUUAUGACCAAUCAAGCUCAGCUUGGUAUUGGGGCCUGCCACAAGGCAGCCCUUAAACGCAGUGGCGGCGCCGCGUGGCUCUCAGCGUAGUAAUACUUCUCGCUACAGGGUCCGCGUGGAUGCUCGCCAGCAACCCCCCAACUCUCAGGGUUGACCUCGGAUCAGGUAGGGAUACCCGCUGAACUUAA